rnacentral:tRNA from 1 species
GUUUUAAUAAUUUAAAUAAAAAUUUUGGUCUUGUAAAUCAAAUAUAAGAGUAAUCUUUUAAAACU